UACGUAGGGGGGCAAGCGUUUGUCCGGAUUUAUUGGGCGUAAAGAGCGUGUAGGCGGCUUUACAGGUCCGUUGUGAAAACUCGAGGCUCAACCUCGAGACGCCGGUGGAAACCGUAAGGCUAGAGUCCGGAAGAGGAGAGUGGAAUUCCUGGUGUAGCGGUGAAAUGCGCAGAUAUCAGGAAGAACACCCGUGGCGAAGGCGGCUCUCUGGGACGGUACUGACGCUGAGACGCGAAAGCGUGGGGAGCGAACAGG
rnacentral:rRNA from 1 species